GACGAACGCUGGCGGCGUGCUUAACACAUGCAAGUCGAACGGGGUCCAUCCAGUCGCAAGACCGGGGAAGACCAAGUGGCGAACGGGUGCGUAACACGUGAGGAACCUGUCCCGGUCUCUGGAAUAACGAGUGGAAACAUUCGCUAAUACCGGAUGCCGUCGGGUCACCGCAUGGUGAACUGACGAAAGGGCUACCGGAUCGGGAGGGUCUCGCGGCCUAUCAGCUUGUUGGUGAGGUAACGGCUCACCAAGGCGUCGACGGGUAGCUGGUCUGAGAGGAUGAUCAGCCACACUGGGACUGAGACACGGCCCAGACUCCUACGGGAGGCAGCAGUGGGGAAUCUUGCACAAUGGGCGAAAGCCUGAUGCAGCAACGCCGCGUGCGGGAAGAAGGCCUUAGGGUUGUAAACCGCUUUCAGCAGGGAAGAAAAUGACGGUACCUGUAGAAGAAGGUGCGGCCAACUACGUGCCAGCCGCCGCAGUAA
rnacentral:rRNA from 1 species